UACGUAGGGUGCAAGCGUUGUCCGGAAUUAUUGGGCGUAAAGAGCUCGUAGGUGGCUUGUCGCGUCUGCCGUGAAAGCCCGUGGCUUAACUACGGGUCUGCGGUGGAUACGGGCAGGCUAGAGGCUGGUAGGGGCAAGCGGAAUUCCUGGUGUAGCGGUGAAAUGCGCAGAUAUCAGGAGGAACACCGGUGGCGAAGGCGGCUUGCUGGGCCAGUUCUGACGCUGAGGAGCGAAAGCGUGGGGAGCGAACAGG
rnacentral:rRNA from 1 species